rnacentral:rRNA from 1 species
UGGGGAAUUUUGGACAAUGGGCGAAAGCCUGAUCCAGCAAUGCCGCGUGUGUGAAGAAGGCCUUCGGGUUGUAAAGCACUUUUGUCCGGAAAGAAAUCCUUGGCUCUAAUACAGUCGGGGGAUGACGGUACCGGAAGAAUAAGCACCGGCUAACUACGUGCCAGCAGCCGCGGUAAUACGUAGGGUGCAAGCGUUAAUCGGAAUUACUGGGCGUAAAGCGUGCGCAGGCGGUUUGCUAAGACCGAUGUGAAAUCCCCGGGCUCAACCUGGGAACUGCAUUGGUGACUGGCAGGCUAGAGUAUGGCAGAGGGGGGUAGAAUUCCACGUGUAGCAGUGAAAUGCGUAGAGAUGUGGAGGAAUACCGAUGGCGAAGGCAGCCCCCUGGGCCAAUACUGACGCUCAUGCACGAAAGCGUGGGGGAGCAAAACAGGAUUAGAUACCCUGGUAGUCCACGCCCUAAACGAUGUCAACUAGUUGUUGGGGAUUCAUUUCCUUAGUAACGUAGCUAACGCGUGAAGUUGACCGCCUGGGGAGUACGGUCGCAAGAUUAAAACUCAAAUGAAUUGACGGGGU